rnacentral:rRNA from 1 species
GGUUUGAUCAUGGCUCAGAUUGAACGCUGGCGGAUGCUUUACACACGCAAGUCGAACGGCAGCACGGACUUCGGUCUGGUGGCGCGAGUGGCGAACGGGUGAGUAAUGGUAUCGGAACGUGCCUCUAGUAGCGGGGAUAACUAUUGCUGAAAGGUAGCUUAAUACCGCACACAAUUCUCUUGGGGAAAGCGGGGGACCUUCGGCCUCGCACUAUUAGAGCGGCCGAUAUCGGAUUAGCUAGUUGGUGGGGUAACGGCCUGACCAAGGCGACGAUCCGUAGCUGGUUUGAGAGGACGACCAGCCACACUGGGACUGAGACACGGCCCAGACUCCUACGGAGGCAGCAGUGGGGAAUUUUGGACAUGGGGAACUCGAUCCAGCCAUCCGGGCGUAUGAUGAAGGCCUUCGGGUUGUAAAAGCACUUUUGGCAGGAAAGAAACGGCACGGAUAAUACCCCGCGCAACUGACGGUACCGCAGAACAAGCACCGUCAACUACGCCAGCAGCCGCGCACGAUGGGGUGUGUGUUGCUAAUCGGAAUACCGGGCGUAAAAGCGUGCAGGCGGUUCGAAAGAUGUGAAAUCCCAGAGCUUAACUUUGGAACUGCAUUUUUAACUACCGAGCUAGAGUGUGUCAGAGGGAGGUGGAAUUCGCGUAGUAGUGAAAUGCGGUGAUAUGCGGAGGAACACCGACAUACGGUAGCCUCCUCGGGGAUAACACUACAUCGCGCGCACGAAAGUGCGGGAGCAAACAGGAUUAGAUACCCUGGUAGUCCACGCCCUAAACGAUGUCAACUAGCUGUUGGGGCCUUCGGGCCUGGUAAAGAAAGCCAAUGCGGUGAAGUUGACCGUUCUGGGGAGUACGGUCGCAAGAUUAAAACUCAAAGGAAUUGACGGGGACCGGGCACAAGCAGGAUGAUGAUUAAUUGAGCACCAUGAAAAACCUUACCUACCCUUGACAUGUCUGAAUCCCGAAGAGAUUUGGGAGUGCUCGCAAGAGAACCGGAACACAGGUGCUGCAUGGCUGUCGUCAGCUCGUGUCGAGAUGUUGGGUUAAGUCCUGGCAACGAGCGCAACCCUUGUCAUUAGUUGCUACGGCAGGCACUCUAAUGAGACUGCCGGUGACAAACCGGAGGAAGGUGGGACGCUCGGGUCUCCGCCGGCCCUUAUGGGUAGGGCUGACACGUCAUACAAUGGUCGGACAGGUGGCUCAACCUGCGAGGGGGAGCUAAUCCCAGAACCGAUCGUAGUCCGGAUCGUGCCUGCAACCGACCGCAAGUCGGAAUCGCUGCAACGCGAUCAGCAUGUCGCGGUGAAUACGCUCCGUUCAGGCUGACACCGCCCGUCACACCAUGGGAGUGGGUUUUACCAGAAGUGCUAGCUCACCGCAGGAGGGCGAUUACUGAGAUUCCAUGACUGGGUGAAGUCGUAACAAGGCAG